rnacentral:rRNA from 1 species
UACGUAGGGUGCGAGCGUUAAUCGGAAUUACUGGGCGUAAAGCGUGCGCAGGCGGUUCGUUGUGUCUGCUGUGAAAUCCCCGGGCUCAACCUGGGAAUGGCAGUGGAAACUGGCGAGCUUGAGUGUGGCAGAGGGGGGUGGAAUUCCGCGUGUAGCAGUGAAAUGCGUAGAGAUGCGGAGGAACACCGAUGGCGAAGGCAACCCCCUGGGCUGACACUGACGCUCAUGCACGAAAGCGUGGGGAGCAAACAGG